AGAGUAGCCUUAGCGCGUAAAGUGUCACCGAACGGGACGUUGUCGGUGGACGAAAGGGGUAAUCCCUGCGGUGCGAAGGCGCGUCCGCUA
rnacentral:ncRNA from 1 species